UCAAAUCGCCGUGGGGCUAUCAAAUCACUAUGAUUGAUCCCUGUCCAAGGUGGGACAAUGUCCCAAGGCGGCUAUGCCGCAUGGCCAUGCCGCAUGUCUUUGUCAGGAUGGCGGCCCUCAGCAGUCGUACGGUGUUUGGGGAAGCCGACCGACCAUACGUCGGCGUUUGAUCGUGGGAUGUCAGGUGAAGACCCACAGACAUCGUCGGCUGGAUCGGCGCAUCGCGGGG
rnacentral:lncRNA from 1 species